UGCGACCAUCAUUGAGCACCUCAGUCCUCUGAUGUGUUUGGCUGAGCUGGAUGGCAGGCUGGCUGCAGUCAGGGGAGAGAGGACAAACGAUCAGGUGUGGGUCCAGAGCCAGAAGAGUGGAGUGAUGGGGCAGGGCCUCCAGUGCUGGUUUCAGCAGGAGGAGGCAUCCAGGGCCGGGGGUGGAGUGGAGUAUUGAGGAGUGAAUAUGUGCCGUAUAAGUCUAUCCUUGAAUAUUCAUCCAUCUGGUAGAACUUCAUGACACGUUCUCUAACUUCAGCUGACAGUGGUUUUCCCUUGUUCACAUGCAGCUCACCAAGUAUUCCCUGUUGUUCUCUAACAGUCUUUGCUUUCCUCACCAUAUGAGUAGUG